UGUCAAAUACUGGCCGAGGCCAAGGGAGA
rnacentral:piRNA from 2 species